rnacentral:rRNA from 1 species
UGGAUCCAGACUUUGAUCAUGGCUCAGGAUGAACGCUAGCUACAGGCUUAACACAUGCAAGUCGAGGGGCAGCGGGAUUGAAGCUUGCUUCAAUUGCCGGCGACCGGCGCACGGGUGAGUAACGCGUAUCCAAUCUUCCGUACACUCAGGGAUAGCCUUUCGAAAGAAAGAUUAAUACCUGAUAGUAUCUUAAGCACACAUGUAAUUAAGAUUAAAGAUUUAUCGGUGUACGAUGGGGAUGCGUUCCAUUAGGUAGUAGGCGGGGUAACGGCCCACCUAGCCAACGAUGGAUAGGGGUUCUGAGAGGAAGGUCCCCCACAUUGGAACUGAGACACGGUCCAAACCCCUACGGGAGGCAGCAGUGAGGAAUAUUGGUCAAUGGACGAGAGUCUGAACCAGCCAAGUAGCGUGAAGGAUGAAGGUCCUACGGAUUGUAAACUUCUUUUAUAAGGGAAUAAACCCUCCCACGUGUGGGAGCUUGUAUGUACCUUAUGAAUAAGCAUCGGCUAACUCCGUGCCAGCAGCCGCGGUAAUACGGAGGAUGCGAGCGUUAUCCGGAUUUAUUGGGUUUAAAGGGAGCGCAGACGGGUCGUUAAGUCAGCUGUGAAAGUUUGGGGCUCAACCUUAAAAUUGCAGUUGAUACUGGCGUCCUUGAGUGCGGUUGAGGUGUGCGGAAUUCGUGGUGUAGCGGUGAAAUGCUUAGAUAUCACGAAGAACUACGAUUGCGAAGGCAGCACACUAAUCCGUAACUGACGUUCAUGCUCGAAAGUGUGGGUAUCAAACAGGAUUAGAUACCCUGGUAGUCCACACGGUAAACGAUGGAUACUCGCUGUUGGCGAUAUACUGUCAGCGGCUUAGCGAAAGCGUUAAGCAUCCCACCUGGGGAGUACGCCGGCAACGGUGCAACUCAAAUGAAUUGACGGA